ensembl:lncRNA
CACAAAGAACAAUAACCUUGGGCCUCGGUGUCGCGCAAGUCAAAAAAAUCCAUCCUGCUCCCCCUCCUCCGUCCUCUCUGGAGGCGAGCUUAUCUAAAUAGAAUUGAUUGGGCCGAGCGAGCAUUCAUCAUCCCGAGCCACAGCAGACGUUCAGGGAGAAGGGGAAGGAAAGAUUUUAAGGACGGGAUAUUUCUCUGUGUCCUCGAGGUACUUGUGCACGUGUAUCUGAGGGCAAGGGAAAUGAAUAAAACGUCAUCACCGAACUUCGGACUCUUCUUUCACAUUUUUCUUCUAUCCUUGAAUAAUAACUAUUGAACAGAGACCAAUUGAGUAAAAUUUAGACCCCAAACUCUUGAAAUAGUUUGGUCCUACAUUCAAUUUCAAUUGUGCCGUUUAAGGGUGACCUCGCUCAACAACACGGCCGUUAAUAUUCCAGCUCGUUAAAGGCAUUAAAAACCUCUCACGAACUGUGUGUGUGUGUGUGUGUGUGAGUAUCUGAUUAUGCGCACUCAUAAAUGAAUGAAGCAUGUGCGUGCAGUACAUUUGAACUUCUUGAAUUUAAAUUGCUCAUAAAAUCGUGUCAGGAGGAAAACCGUUGCUAAUUGCAUUUUAUUUCUAAUCAGCCUGAAGCAACAAGACAGUAACCGUGGUGACGGAUACGCUGCCAAACACGUGCAGACGCCUACGCAGCGCCAUCGUGGUGAGACUUGGAGGUCGCUGAAGGACAGGCCUCGGCCGUUGGCAACCUGUUGGAGGAUCACUGUUGACUAAGACAUCGUCGCAUGCGGUGGCGCUGAGGUUUAACCUUCGUUUGACCAAAGGAGCCCGAACCACGUCGACGGGGCGUCCACGCGGUCCCAGGCGGGGAAAUGUCUUCCCCGCUGUGAUGACUGGCGUCCACGUAUCAAGUCGAGCCUUAUCCCCCUAAAUGUUUGCAAAAGUUUGGCUCACAUUUAGUUUUUAGACCAGAGGUCUCUAACUCCCUAUUCUACUUUGGUCUGCCCUUUUCAACAUGGCAGCUGUAUUUGGGCUGGAGUCACGCAGGGACGAGAAGGGUACGAAACUAGCGUCCUCGUACAAAAAAAAGGCCGUCUUCCUGUCCCCGCUCCCGUGAGACGUCCUACCACUUCAAUGCCUCGUUUCCGCACUGACUACAGCCUCGGGCUCAUUUCUCUUCUGUUAAGCGGUUAAGCUCUCCUGAGUGACCAUCUACGUAUCGUCCUAUCGCACGUCAAACAGCGCCUGACGACCUGAAGGGGCCUCGCUCUGAGCUGACCCCCCCCCCUCCUGAAGGAGAAGGGACCCGUGCCAGGACGAGGCGUCCGUCUCCUCUGCCUUUUAACGCCUCCGCUUUUUUUUCCCCCCGUUCGGCGUCCCGCAGCCGAACAAAACGCCGGCACUUUGAACACAUUGAGUUCCGCGCAGCGCUUUCGCACAAGCAGAGACGCCGCAUGGGAGCGACAGCUUGUGUAAACAAAAUCUUAAGCAAACUCAGCCGCUCCGUAAACAGCAGGCGGCACACGCACACACACACACACACACACACACACACACACACACACACAUUUAAAACACCAACACGGCGCCUCUUCCCGCCUACAAGGCAUCCCAAGAAAAGCCCCUUUCUUGUGAAGGACCCUCGUGUGCGAGGCGCUCUCUGAUGUCUUCACACUGCAGGUUCGGGAUUUCAUUAACAGACUGCUGAGCUGCUCGGAUAGUUAAACCAAUUUGGCGCCUCUAAUGGGGAGACGAGGCGGGGGGGCCUCUGCCAACGUGAUAAUGUUCACGCCCGUGUUUGUUUUCCUCCUUUUGGUCCGUCUGUAUUUUUUUGAGCCGUUGUGUAGCGUGUUAGCAUGUGAAAACGCUUCUGAGGAAACUGUCCGAACUAAUUCGGGGGGGAUAGAGAGCCUUUCACGUCGCCACCUGGGGUCACCAUGGAAGUUCUCCUCCCUCACAAAAGGGAGGCUGAAGGGAGUGUAGCACCUUUGGACACUCGCGUUGCGAUUCAGAAUAACUUAAAAAUCCAGGCUUGCUGUCGGAGUCUCGCCCUUUGGUCCGCUUUGGUCCAAGGCAAUCUGAGCUUUUCCCUGUGUGGAUUCUAUAAUACAUUACUUUGCAAUUAGAAAAGCAAUUUUCAGUUUUAAGGACCUCAUUUAAAUUAGACCGCAUAAUUACGUUGCCAAUAUCCGUUUUGACUCUGCAAUUCUAUUUGUUGGCAAUCUGAAUGUGUUGUGGCAAGAUUUUAAAUUAAAGUGCAUUUCUAGAAAUAGAGGGGAAAAAAAAGUGGCGUUUGUUGCUUUGACAGAAAUGCAGGCAGGAGGAAUGAAGCUUCUCGGAGCUUCUGUUCACUUGCAGCCCGGGAGAUUCUUCUUUGCGCCGCGUGUCAUCGUGCACAGUCAAACUUGUUAAGUACCAGCCUAUACGAGAGCCCCCCUGUGUGUUUAUUGCACUCUGUGUUUAAAGUGAUCCUGAUACGACAAACACCCCUCCCCCCCCCACCACCCUCACGGACUCACACCCUGAUGUGCUUUGUAUUGAUUUCCUGACUUGCCGGGGUUUCCUUCUCUUCCCCGUCUGCGAGCAUCCCGAGCAGUCAGUUAAUGGCGCGUUACUAACUCCGGCCCAGUCAUCCUUUACACGCCGCUCUCACAAGAGCCCCCUCGCCCUGAAUAUCCAUUACUGCCCGACUGUACGGUAACGGCCGGCCCUGCUCAUGACACAUUUAUGCAUGCGGCCUGCGGGAGGCUGGUGCUCUGAAUGCUGAUUUCGUGUUGAGGUUUCACGUUUGUUUAUCACAUGUGCACUAUGCCAGAGUUUCCUCAAGAAGCCGGCGGACACGAGUCCCAUCAGAGGGAGGAACACAAACCUGUUCAUAUGCUGGUUUUUUAUAAUGUUUUAAAGUGCGUUUUACUCUCUCCGACCAGAAUAUGUGUUAGAAUGUACUGGAAACAAAGGCAGCUCUUAAAACCCAAAUAUCAAUAUUAUCAGAAAAUACUCUGAUAAGUAAUUCACCGAAAUCAGAAAAAAACAACAGGAAAUGUUAAUAGGUCACAGUUGGGGCCCUUUAAAUGUUUUCCAGUCAUUUGACAUUUGACCCUGAAAAACAGCUUCAAGAUGAAUACUGAGGAUUGUUGAGGAUUUGCAACAAGAAGGUAGUAGAACAUAACAAAGGAUUUGUUUUAACAUGUGAACUCUUAUGACCUCAUAGACUCAACAACACGUUCAGAGUCGUGAUCGUUUCCUUCACAUAACCCCGGAGGUUUGUUGCCCGUCCACAUCAUCAGAACCUCAAUGGAGUCCAGUUCUUCUUAUUGUUUGACUUAAUCAAAGGAUGUGAAUUCUCUUUUGAUCAGAGAUGUGGUUUUUUCUUUUUAUUUCCAUACCAGAUGUUUUAAUUUAAACAGCACUCGGAGAGCAAUGAACACAGCGACACUCUUCUGAAGUUGUAAAUACAAUAAUACAGAAAAUCUUCGUUAAAAGUGUAUUUCCGAAGAAGCCACUUUGUGUUCGAUCAGUAAAUAUCCACAAUGCACCACCAGCCUCACAUAGAAAAUGUGCGCGUAACCUUCUAAUCACCCAGCUGGACGUGUGUGUGUGUGUGUGUGUGUGUGUGUGGUGAAUGGGAAGUUAUUGAUUCACUGUCUGAAAUGUAAUUCAUUAUCUUCUCAAUGGCCUGGUGGAAUAUUUGGUUAUUUGUUGGCUCCUUUGUGGAGGGUGGCGGCUGAUUAGCUCUGUAUUCAGAGCAAUUGCAAUAGAUUCAAAGGGACACGCGGACAUGGCAACAAAUAAGCUAAUGAAGCAUUCAAUCCAUAAGGUCUUGUGAUUGGUUUUUAAACCAUUUAGCGUUUGCAAAUGUCUUUGUUAGAGGCACCAAAAGAAGCUUUGUGGGUAUUGAGAGGGGUCCCUCCACCGUGGAAGCACACGGGAGGACAGUUUGUCUCGCGGUGAAGUUAGGACUAGUUGAAUGGGAUGUGGGUAUUAAAGUACAGAGUGUGUGCGUUGUCUUCAAAUCUAGUGCGUAACACCAUAGGGGCUCCACAAUAAAAUGUAAUUAACUGGAAUACACAAAUGUAAUUAUGGUGAAAACCCAUCACGCCCUAGUUAAACAUAUUCAUUUACACAUUCACAUGUUGCCAGAUGUCUUUCCUGCAUUUGGCGGCUGCACCUGCGAUGCUUAAAGCCUGUGUUUUGCGUUUAACCUCUUUAUAUUCGCCUAAUAAUUAUGAUAUAUCUUUUUUUAUAUUUCACAUCAUAGGUAUGUAGAACUUGCUUUGCAGCACCUGCAGGAAGACAUAUGUCCCGCAAGCCUUUAUUUACUCGGGCGCCAUAUGUGCCCGCGAAGCGCAUUCCGCUCCGAGCGUUCAUAUUUACACGCGUGUGUGGAUGCACACGGUCCCCGUUCGCACAAAUAAACACACCCACUCACAAACGCAAUCAUAUGCAUCGGCUCACACGUUUUAUGACAUUUGAAAGAGGCAAAAAAAAAAGGAGGACAGUUCGGUUUUUAUCAUCAAAAACGCAAAUCAACAGGAGGGGAAAACCGAGCCAGAUGAACACAUGGUGCUAAAGGCAGCGACGGACGGCGCAGAGCGAGGCACCAGAUAAAGGCAAAGAGGCUCCAGGGAUCAGGAUGACAACCAGGCCGCACAGACCCCCCCCGGCCUUUGUUCCUCUCCAGGAGCCUCGUGGCAGACAACCCCGUGACUUUUGCAGAGAGAUGCCUCACGUCAUUAAUUAAACAUUAAGCACCUCAGCUCCCGAACCUCCGGCAGGAAGCCUUGAAAGUUUCCGUAUGACAGAUGCCAUUGUUUUUUGCGAUAUGCCAUAGAGGCAAAAUAUCACAAAGGGAAGUCGAUCAGCUGUAAACUUCAUAGGAUGACGUUCCGGAUACAGAGGCAGGACAGAGCGUCCUUAUCAAUUAUUAUUAUUUGUGUUGGCCUUUUUAAGUUCUAAACUCACACGGCUUUCCAGAUUAGCACAUUUAAAGAGGCCUAAUGAGCCAGUAGCGGUUAAAGAUGCAAUUGCUGAAAAUAAAGUUUACGACCACUUCAUUAAUUUCUGUAUGGUACAGAGGGACCAGGGAAACGUGUCCAGUCAUUAAAGGGUCAACAUGUUUUCCAGCCGAGCUCUUUCAUUUGUGUUCAUAAAACACAAAGAGGGAUGCAAACCGAGGAGGGAAUGCAUUCCAACCACUGGCUUAUUUAUUCAUUUCAUUUUAUUAUGUAAGAGAAACAGAUACAGGUCAAUUUCAUGUGUUGCAUUGACGCCGGCGGAGUUUAAUCUGGUUUACUGCAGGUCGAUGUUCUGCAGCACGUUAAAGUCAGUAUCACACUACAACAGCAAGUUAAAGAACAAAUAGAAACAUGAAGUUGCAGUGACGUUGGAGCUCCGCUGCCAUCGUAAAACCCCCUUUUCACUUUUAUCUGAACCAAAAAAUACAGCAAAACUACAAUAUUAAUGCAAACAAAGCAUUUUGCAAUGAAUGGUGACAGCAGGGACCGGGAAUAAAAUAAAUCACGUCAAACAUUAAUGCUAAUAGAAGAGUUAUGUGUUGAAUAAAAGCCGAAUAAAGACUGUAAAAGGUGUAACCAAGUGCUGCUGUAAACAUAGAGACCUUUUAGUGUAUUUGCUGGGGAAUACUACUGAAUUCAUUACAAUUCAAAACCCCAAAAGAAAACAGAAAUUUUCUUCUUGUUUGUUUGGCUGCUCUUUCAGAAACAUACCUGCGUCUGGUUUAGAAAGAAAGGCCGUUGUGAUGGGAUUAUUUUUACCCCGGGCCGACCGACAGUAUGAAAUGACUCUCAUCCUCCCUCCAUUAAUACCUCAGCUUGCGUUUGGUAAUAGGCGCCGGGUGGAAAUUCAAUACCUAAUUCAUCAUAUCUGAUAUCAUGUGAACAAUCUGAUGCUGACUUCUCAUUCUCAUCAUCUCCCCUGAUUGGAUCGUGUAGAUAAUGAUAUAUUCUGGUGGACAAAUGAGGAUUCCUCCAUCCGUCAGAUGAGCUUUUAUUGAAGUGUCUCUUGGCACCUUAUUGUGUACUUAAUGAACACGGUAAAAUGAUAAUUCUAAGAAUAUCGGCAGAGACCAUUGUGGACCUGGGAGGAUUGGCUGGAUUCUGCAACAUUAUUAUUUUAUUUGAAUCUUUAAUUCUGCCAGCAGAAUCAUCACACGAAGCGCAGAUGAUUCAUUGAAGGUAAUGAUCGGGGUGGAUUACAAAAAGUAGUUCCCCCGAAGCACUUUAUCUGUGAAGCUCAGCUCAACGCACCAUCAAGGGUCUCGCACGUUUCCACUAAAGGAGAGAGAGGAAGUCUCGCUCAGACUGAGAUCACAGCAUUCCGGUGUUUCCGUUCCUCUCGUGAAUUAUUGUGGAUAUUCCUCGUACUCACUUUGCCGUCUGGCGUGUGGAUCCUGGCAGGUGUCCAGGUGUCAUUUCCUGUUACCAGCAACACGGCCCACGUGAAGAGUGUCAGUUUAAAGGCCGACGAACGGGAGGCCGCGGCGCACGCGGGGCCAACGGCUUGCAUCGUGCGUCGGACCGGAGGACCGGAGGCUCCGGCGCGGGAGGUCCGGGUCGGUUCAGGUCGGAUCCAGAUCUCAUCAGUCUGCACGGAAAGAGACCGUUUGUGCCGAAGAGGUCAAGACUUGACGGGUGAGUGUCCCUGAUUGGCUGUGAAGGGCAGAGCAAAGUGCCGUGUCGUGACAAUAAAACAUGUCAGGUUCAAGGGAUUUUUGUCUUCUGAGUCGCUCAUGCUCCGACCGGGCUGCUGCUCUGAUAAAUAAGGGAACAAAAAGGUUCACGCGUUAUUCACGAUGGCCAUUAUAACCGCUGAACAGAAAGACAAAUCACUUGAACUUGUUGUUUGGGGGCCUCGUUUAAAGAUCAGCGGCGAAACCGAUGCUGGAUGCUAAAUAGCUUUUUGUCCCCUUCAGUCCGGGAUGCUGCUUCCACUCUGAGCAACGAGUCCACGAGCCGAUACAACUUAUUUAAUAGCACCCUCUGCGCUUUCACGGCCCCAUUUAGGUGAUUGAUUCUGGGCUUCUCAUCCAGCUCAGCUCCACGUUGGUGAUGGAUGCCGCUGGGAUUCAGCGUUCUCUCGUGGAGGCACUUGACAAGCAGCUAAUUCAGUAAACAACAGCAACGCAACACCUGUAUUUCUGGUGAUCUUUCCGUCAAGGGGCGAGACAACUGAAUGUCACGUUGGAUGUGACGUGUCAAAUAUUGUCUCUGGAUCAAUGCCUUCGUUUGGGGGUCAUGUGGUUAAGGUGGAUUUCUGCGUUUUAUCUUUAUAAAAGCGUGAUCGGGGACAAGCGGCGCUUGUGCAGUUUGCAGGUAAACCUUCGUGGAGGACACUGUGCUGCAAGGACUGUCACCGUCAUUAUUCAUUUCAUUCGUUCGAGUGGAAAUAACAAAAAGGCCUGUUUUUCCAUCUCCUGCACAGCAGAUAAAAAGCAGUUUGAUGUUUUUGAAUGAAUAAAUCCGUUAUUAAAAGUAAACGUUAUUACUGCAACAGUUAUCAUACAGCCGAUCCUGUAAUACCGGUACAAUGACACUUUUUAUAAUCACUGAUCACCUUGUUACACAACGACAGUCAGCAAGGUCAUCAUCAAAGUUAGAAAGCAAAUCGACAAGCGAUCCCCGGCAGGAGCACGGCGGCUCGAUCUGCUCUCCGCCGGCAUCCGGGGGAAUAUGUGAGUGUAUUAAGUGGUUGACAAUUUAUUAUCAACAUUAAUUAGCGUCUGUUUCUCAGAAUACAUUUAGAAGUCACAAGAGAUGUCAUUAAACUGUAAUUUGAAUAAGUUAAUAAAGGGCAGGGUAUAAAAGGCUGCAGGGAGGGCGAAACAUUGACUCCUCCCAACAACAAAUUACCUCAUUGUUUCCCCCUAAAGGAGCUCUGUAGAUUAAGACAUGGCACAUGACACAUUAAAAAGCAGAAUACCCUUUAAUUCCGGUGGUUUGAAUAGUACAGAUCCCGCGCCCACUAGGAGCUUUCCCAAUUCAUUUCAUUGUGCUAUUUUCUAUGCACACAAAUCCCUGCAGAAGCAUGUGGAUGAUUCAAUAUAUAAUUGUUUUGAGCGACGCAUCAUUUGAACGUAGUUUUCGAGAGACAGUGUCACAUGGCCUUUAGGCGACAAGAAGAAGAAGAAGAAGCGGCAAACGUAAUAAUGGAAGAGUCUGCGUCACGCAGAACAACAACCAGCAGCAGAAGUAAACCCAGGACGAGGGAGGUGACGACGAUAGAUGUAUCGCGAGGGAGGAGGAAGAGCACACUUUGGAAAUGUCAUCAUGACAAAGACAAAGGUUUGCUUCAGAGCCGCGGCAGGAAAACAAACGGUCCUUCCAAGUCUGCACGGCUGAGAAAACAGUUCACGCCGUUUGGCAGCGCGCGGCUAACGCAAUAACUCACAGUGAACGUGCAGGCCGAGUCCACACAUCUCUUCCCCCGUGUGCAGAAUCUGCAGACAUCAAAGCCCUUUCCGCUGACAAAUGGUCCCCGCUUUUGAAUCAUACCAAAUCAAUAACGGGAGACAGAAGCUAAUUGUCCUGUUUUUUACAUCUAUAUCACCAAUGAGUUUCCCAUCUGCGCUUCAUUGGGCUCCACGAGACGCCUUUGACUGCGACACGUACGAGAUGAAAGAAAGUUCCAUCAACAUGUGGUGACGUGCAGCUGUUUCCGCGGCGCCUCUUAUUCACCACGGCCCGGAAAUUGAUUGAAAUUUGCAAUGCAACGUGUUGUUGGAACAAAGCUGCCGGUUGCCCGGGGACGCGUCGCGCUUCCCAACAUCAAUCAGUGGCCAACAUGCAGAUAGGCUUUAAUCUAGCAGACUAUCGCGCCGAUUGAACCCGGGCUGCGGUUCAACUACCGCACGUAGUUUCCGUUUAUCGAAAUACACAAACGUAUUUGAUGUGUCCAGCUGGAGGCUACUCGGUGGCCUGCGAUUCGAUUGCGUACAAUCAAAGCUCGUUGGUUUGGAAGUUCUACUCUAGUGCAGGUUGAUAAGUGCACACAGAACUAAAGAUCCGGCCUGGACUUGGACGUAGACGUAUUACCGUUUUGUUGGCGGAAGCCAAAAAGAACAGGAAGAACGGUUCAUGGUUCAGUCACAAUGGUUUGCUGCCACCGAACCACAAGAGCGUUUCCGUGUGUGUCGGCCAGAAGGCCCCCGACGGCCUGUUAAUGUUAAAGGUGUCGAGCGAGGCCGAAGUCAGGGGCCUUUUCGGGCUGGUCAAGUUCCUCCAAAGUGGUACAAACAUCUCUUUAUGGACUUUAUGGUCUCUUUAUGUGCAAGGGGGCGAUUUCACGUUGAAACGGGAAAAUACCUUUUGUUGAAAGGAACUAUGUUCCUAGUCCAAAUUACCAUUAGCCAUGUUACAAUUCACAUAUUCUUUCGCACAUUUGUGAGUAUUACACUAGAAAGUUUUAUGGGAAGAACGAAAUUUGAUUUCCUGAAUUGCAUAAAAAAAAAAAAAAGUUUUCCUGCUUCCAUAAGGUGGCUGUGCCUCAAAAAGAGUUACUGUUCCAAAUGGGUUAUGGAAACACCUCGGCGGAAUAAACCCUGCGGCAGCGAACAUUUACCUCACAUGACUGAUCAGUGAGCCAAAUACAAACCUCCUCUCGCCUCCCGAGAUGUGAUAUGAAGCCCCGUUUCUAGCAGACAUACGCCGCUACAAUCACACCUCGCGUCUCUGCCAAUUUUCCCUUCUGCGCCUUUCACGUCUCCGCCCCCUCGUGAACUGUCUGUCUGUCCUUCUGUCUCCCCGAGAGCAGCUUCAUCGCGAGCUCCGUCCUCCCCCAAAUCUGUUGUGAUGGUGCAAUUUAUCGUCUCUCACCGAACGGGGAAGGGAGAUGGAGAGACGGGGUCCAAUUAGCAUCGCUGUGACAGAUUUAGACCCCAGAGACUCUCCGGUCGUCUCCCCGGUUUUCAUUAUGCAGUAGGUCUUGUUUUUUUGCUCCAUGGAACUUGAUUUAGCUCGAUUCAAGACAACUGAAAACUUCUUUAUGGAAGAGAGAAAUGCUGGAAAGUGGUAAUUUCACACUUUUUCAAUCAAUUCCAUUGAGGUGAAGCGAGGUCCAAGGCUUCCAAGUAGAACAAACUAAAAGAAAAGUCUUCCAAACUACGUGAUUGUGUAUAGUAAACACGUAUAAUGUAUUGAAAUCGUUGGCAUUAUUGUACAAAAUGGUGUUUUUAUAUGCAGGGAAAACGCUAUGCUGAAAAAUACGUCUCAAAUUCCAUUUAAUUCCCCUGAAAGGAAUUUACCACUCAGCCCCUGACAAAAGGCAUCAAUCUUCAAUCCAAUUUGUCAGGUAAUCUAGCCAGCAGAAUGUAACGUCACCGAACUCGAUGCAUCCACUUAGCAAUCAGUGUCUCAAUGUCAUAAACACCAGACAUCAUUAAACUACUCUGAUAUUGUUUCGUUGGGAAUGCCGGUAAUAAGAAUCGGUCACUGUGUAGAAAAACAAUAUAUGGUCCUUGAUGGACGACUGGCUGCUUUAAACAUUGCAUUUCAUUAAGUUAACAUGCGUUGUUUUAAUUUCCAAAUGUCAGUGGCUCCUUGUGUGUGUGUGUGUGUGUGUGUGUCUGUGUGUGUGUGUGUGUGUGUGUGUGUGUGUGUGUGUGUGUGUGCGCGCUGGGAAUAAAGUGGGGAAAAAAAGCAUUAUUGCUGUUAAGCGGGAAAGACAAUUUGAUUCCGACUUCCUGUUGAUUCAAAAAGAAAUUGUUUGAGGAAUAUCGGAAUGAAGCGGAUGAAUUAGACACAAUGUAACACGAACAGGCCGCUUAAGGCUCAACGUGUGCAUUCAAGGAUUAAUGACGACACGCCGCUCUAACGUAGGAUGUGCAAAGCGUUCACAUCAGCACGAGUCGACGGCCUGUCAAACCGCCCCGGAAACGAAUCUGCCGCGACAGUUCAAUGGAACCGCUGCCUGCGUUGAGUUCACGUUCCUUUUUUUUUUGUCUGCAGUUGAGGGAAGAGCCGCGUGUCUGCUCCUCAACGCAGGUUCCGUCGGGACGCCGGCGGGUUGAACGGGGAGAAAAGUGAGCCCGAAGAAGCGGCCUCGAUUCGACGUUCUUUAUUCCCCGCGUGCGGUUCGCUCGUGGCACCGAAAAAAGUUUCCCUUUACUGCAGUCGCGUCUUGCACGUCACUUUGCGGUUAUUCAGUAAUGAGCACAGACCGCGAGCCUUUUCUAAACCUGGACAGGACGCAUCAAUGAAACCAUAGAAACAUCAAAGAAUCGUUUCCUCGGGGAAAUAAAGUCGGGUUUGUGGACCAAAAAGGUCGGGGGUCGUUGUGCUGUUUGGAGGGCUUGUUGUCCGGAAGUUCAUUUGCUCACAGAAUUAGCUUUGCGGAAAGAGAAAAAACAGAAAUCAAACCUGUCGAACUUGCUGCCGCUUAGCUGCACAUUAAUAAUUGACAGAUUGCAUCUGUAACAACAUCCGACAUCCAUCAGAAAAAUCCCCCACUGGCUGAAAACACAGCCCGAAGCAUUUCAUCGGGCUUUCAUUCUCUUUUCAGCCGGGAAAAGGAAAGAGUUGGAUUAAUCAAACACAGCAUCCGAGCUAAAAAUGGAAGAUGACACGCGCGCAGACUUUAAGACAAGACGAGUCUUAAGAUGGAAACGAAAUGUCUAGACUUCCUCCAUUUGUCCUCCUUCUAACUUUUCUUAACUCUUCGAUUCAACCCUUGCGUGUCUUCCGCUCACAUUCAGUUCUUUUUCUGCCUCUACCGUUACGUAAAAAGCUUGAAUUCCUUGUGUAAGCGGAUUCACUUCACGUUGAGCACGUUUGGAACAUUGUUUAGUGUCUCUCCUCCUGUUGCAGUUCCCUUUCUUCAGUGAAAACCCUCUUUGGAUUCAUUUUAAAGACACGUGAGUUUGAAAGAAUUAAAGUGCUUUGUGUUAAACACUUCUAUUUCAUGCAAACUUCUUUGAUGUAUCCAUGACACAUUUUCCAUGUGGGAUUCUGAACCAAGCAGUUAAAAAAAAGAAGACAAAAAGAAUCGGAAAAAUAAUAAAUUAUUUCGACUUUACGCACCAACUGAGAAUUAUUUUUUGAUGAAGCUGUUUCAGCCUUUUCAGUUUCACUUUUACCCAACAUUUGCAUUUUUAAAAUUUGAAAAAGUUUUAGAUUUGCAUCCGUUUCAACAUUUCCUCCUUCAGUGCCACUCAGUUAUUCGUCUGCAGACUUGAAGGUGACAUUGAAGGAGACAGUGUUUCCGCGGUGGAGUCGACUCGCCUCUCAUCCAUUCCGUCUUUCUUUAAAAGAGAAGAGCAUGUACCCAUCUGAGAAGGGGGGGUUGGGGGGCACUGAGGCUGUUCGGUGACUCUCGCCCAUCGCCUCUGUUGAUUGGUUUCCCGUCAGUCAGCGUACAUCCACGUCUCUCCAAACAAACCUCUGCUGUCGAGUGUGACGAGCUCCGGUGCCCUCGAUUUCCAUUCUCUUCUUAGUCGGAUGGAAUAUUUUCCCAUAACCACAAAUACCCCGGCCUUCUAAAACUUCUUCACCUUCUCAAUGCAGUUGAGACAAACAAUCCGUUAUUCUAGUUUUCCAUUUUUGUAAUGAAAUGCUGAUGUUUGAUCAUCUCUGUUUAUCUCAUGGUGCACCAGUAAGCAUAUUUUGUAAUCAAGUAUUAAAAAACCCAAUUUAUCAUGUAUUAUUAUAUCAAAACCAGUCAGUAAUCACUGCAACGUGGACAAUAGUGAAAUACAAAAAUGUAGCACAUGGCUCUGUGAGAAAGGAAUUGAAUGGCAUUGAAACGUUGAAUUGAGCUGUUGAACAUAGCUGGUGUAUUAGACGCAGAUGUGGAUGAUUCAAAAGCACAGUUAAAUGUUUGAAUAA